ACAAUCAAGAGGGAAAGAGGGGAAGCAGAAAGAGACGGAGACCUGCUAUCUUGGCCAACGAUCCCGUGAAGAGGGAACGGCGGUCUACGCAGGGAAUUCAGCUUCCUAUCAAGCCUAGCAGCUGUCACCCGCAGGUGCUGGGCUUCGUUGCUGUUUCUGGCAGAGUCCUGCUUCUCGCGCCCGCUGCACUGGGUUUGGCGUCUCUGCUGUUCGCUGAGAUCUGCACACUCCAGGAGCCAUAGGGAGGACGCCAGGACAGCCCCGAAGACGAGAAUGCCUCGCUCCUCCUAGGACGGGAGGAAAAUCCCACAAAUCCUGUCUACUCCAAGCAGCCGCGCCCCUCGGGAGACCACCCCAGUUGGAGGGGCCCACUCCAGCCACCGCUACACCGGGACGCGCUCCUCCUCCCCCUGUGCCCGCCCCUUCUCGUGAGGGACCACCAGGAGGCCCCUCGAUUCCCCAGCAAAACACAGGUUUUGGA
rnacentral:lncRNA from 10 species